rnacentral:rRNA from 1 species
AUUGAACGCUGGCGGAAUGCUUUACACAUGCAAGUCGAACGGCAGCACGGGGGCAACCCUGGUGGCAAGUGGCGAACGGGUGAGUAAUACAUCGGAACGUGCCCGGUCGUGGGGGAUAACGUAGCGAAAGUUACGCUAAUACCGCAUACGAUCUGAGGAUGAAAGCGGGGGACCUUCGGGCCUCGCGCGAUCGGAGCGGCCGAUGUCAGAUUAGGUAGUUGGUGGGGUAAAGGCCUACCAAGCCGACGAUCUGUAGCUGGUCUGAGAGGACGACCAGCCACACUGGGACUGAGACACGGCCCAGACUCCUACGGGAGGCAGCAGUGGGGAAUUUUGGACAAUGGGCGCAAGCCUGAUCCAGCCAUUCCGCGUGCAGGACGAAGGCCUUCGGGUUGUAAACUGCUUUUGUAUGGAACGAAAAGGAUCUGGCUAAUACCUGGGGCUCAUGACGGUACCGUAAGAAUAAGCACCGGCUAACUACGUG